rnacentral:rRNA from 1 species
CGGCGGACGGGUGAGUAACGCGUGGGUAACCUACCCUGUACACACGGAUAACAUACCGAAAGGUAUGCUAAUACGGGAUAAUAUAUUUGAGAGGCAUCUCUUGAAUAUCAAAGGUGAGCCAGUACAGGAUGGACCCGCGUCUGAUUAGCUAGUUGGUAAGGUAACGGCUUACCAAGGCGACGAUCAGUAGCCGACCUGAGAGGGUGAUCGGCCACAUUGGAACCGAGACACGGUCCAA